rnacentral:misc_RNA from 1 species
UUUGUAAAAUCACCUUGCUUAUGACUAGUUAUGAGAUUCAUUCUGCUGCUGUGCCUAAUUUCAACUACAAUUUGUCAGAUAUUAGCAAAAUUAAGUUCCAUUCAACUUUCCAGCUGAUACAUACUCUUGAUCGAUUAGAUAACGUACCAUCUAAUACCGUUGUUUACAAAUAACAGUGGUCUAAACGUUUUCUUUUUGAGUUAUUUACAGCGAAAUCAAAUCAUAAGAAUAUCCGGAACAUAAUGACACUUUGCAUCAUUUUUUAUUUUACUUUUGUGCAAAACUAAAAACUGUUUGUUCGAAUGCAUGCGUGGAUGCAAGAAAUUAGAAAACAUACUGUUUUCAAGGGUCUUAAAACAAGUAGUAUGAUACUCAGGAUGUACACCAGUGAGAUGUCACAGACUGUUGUAGCACCAAGCGGAAUGGAACGUAGCAUACACGAAAUGCUCAAGGAUGCUCCAUCCUUAAAUGAGAGCGAAAAUGCAGUACAUACUGGAACACCACCACCGCACAAUCCUAACAAUCACAGUAGCGGACCAUCGAGACCUGCUACUAUGAAUCUGCCUGCUGGCAGUCCAACAUCACAGAAUGCAACUGUGACAACCCCAAAUACACCACUUUCAAAUGGCGAUGCUCAGACAAUGCGUUCUGCUCAAAGCAAGAUUGAAAGUAUUAGGAACUGGAGCAUUUCCACGUAUAAAUGUACCAAGCAACUGAUGUAUGAAAAGCUUGGUAAAACGUCACGCACUGUAGAUUCUGAGCUUGAGGCUCAGAUUGAACUUUUGAGAGACACACAGCGGAAAUAUUGUAACGUAUUACGGCUAUCCAGAGCCCUGGCAUCCCACUUUCAUCAUGUGGUGCAGACUCAGCAUGCGCUGGGAGAAGCAUUUUCAGAAUUGGCACAGAAAUCGCCUGAAUUGCAAGAAGAAUUUCUGUACAAUUCAGAAACACAGCGUAACCUUACUAAAAAUGGGGAAACACUUUUGGGGGCCUUAAACUUCUUUGUCUCGUCUGUUAACACUCUCUGUAACAAGACUAUUGAGGAUACACUGUUGACUGUCCGUCAGUAUGAAACCGCUAGAAUAGAAUAUGACGCUUACAGAACUGAUCUAGAAGUUUUGGCGCAAGCUGCGAAAACAGAUGCUAGUAGCGCAUCUAGAGUGGAAGAAGCUCAAGCCAGUUAUGAACAACAUAAACAAAAUUUUGAAAAACUUCGAUCUGACGUUUCAAUAAAACUUAAGUUUUUGGAUGAGAAUAGGAUCAAAGUAAUGCAUAAGCAGCUGCUUCUGUUUCAUAAUGCUGUGUCAGCUUAUUUUUCCGGAAACCACACAGCAUUGGAGGCUACAUUGAAGCAGUUUAACAUCAAAGUUAAAUCGCCAAACUCCUCCCUACCGUCCUGGCUAGAACAAUAGAAAUGCUCCAUGAAAAUGUCCAGUCAUUAAUGCCUAGAAAUGAAACAUCUACACCAGCAUUCUGCGUGCCGGAUGUAGAGGUAUGUUUCCACUUGCCACGUCAGUCCAGUAAAUUAAAAUCUGUGCCACGCCAAUACAAUGACGUCCUCAUGCUAGAUUUGCAGAACAAGAAUAUGAGAUCUUCAUUAAGCUGAGUAUUGUCGUUUGAACUAUUGGAUCUUGGAAAGACAAGACACAAUUGCGAUAUUUGGCUAGGUAUGCAGUCAUCUCCGACGUACACUUUUGAGAAUUUUCUAAGAUUAUCAUGAUUUUUAUCAAGAUGAUAAGGCACUUGAUGGAAACAAUUAAAUUCUUGACAUUGAAUGACCAGCAAUUGUAAUCAACAUAGGUUUGAUCUGGGUUUGAUGACUUCUUUCUGGGGCUGGCAUAUCUCAAGAAAUGACAAUAGUAAUCGAUAUUAACUUAAUGAAUAAUCAAUGUAUACAUUUCCAUUUGGAAUAUUUAUUUUAUGUCUAUUGUACUCGCGUGAAAGAUAUAUCGAGUGUAAACAAACGUAAGAGUUUUCCAGAGAACUCUGAAACGCCAAAGCCAGGAGCAAACGUUAGGAUAUUUUUUUCAACUAUCCUGAGUUUCGGUCAAUAGGCGAUAAGAAAAUUGGACCAUUUACUUAACGUAAGUCCUGAGAGCAUCGUGUGUAUGGCACACAGAAUUUCCACUUUCAAUUAGCUAUGUAGAUCAACAUGGUUUAUCCUUUUGACUCAGAAAAUAAAAAUACUUACGCUGAUACUCUAGAUAGAACUGUUGAUAGAUUUGAAAAUUGUAUGUUGAAAUCGGGCCUAGUCACUAUACCCUAGUAUACAAUGUAUAUUGUAGUUACUGAAGUAGAUGAUAAAAUGCAGGCAAAGAAUAAUUAGAACAAUGCAAGUCAGAUUAUUGCGUAUGAGUAGAGAACUUUGAUACCGUUGAUUAUACUUAUAUUCUCAUCUUUCUUACAGUUGUCUUGUUUGCUAAAAAGAAAUAUAUUUCUACUACAGCACUCAUAUGGCACUGAUCAUAGUUCAAAUAGGGACUAUUAUUUCUUCAUCAUAAUGAUAUGUAGCCGUGAUUGAUAUUUUACUGGCAAAGACAUAAGAAUAAUUAUUACUUUCGUACGGCCAUAGCUGGAGGAAAAAAGUCAUCGUAUUAGAAAAUAAAUAACUUGAAUAAUAUAAAUCAAAUUCACUACCUGUAAAAAAAUGAAUGCAUGCGUAGGUAUCUAUAAAUUGUCAUCCAGAUAAUAUGAAUGGAUAAUACAAGUACAAAAUAUACUCGAAUAUAUUCUGAGUAAAAAAUAAUAAUCUCGCUUAAAAAUGUGUCGUAACAAAUCAUUUCGUUAUAACUUCUGUGAUUUUUAAAAUACUAUUUAGUGAUAAUUAUUUAUUAUAUUUCCCAUUAAGUAUAAGAGUGCUGUGUAAAAUAACUUAUAUUUUGUUGACCUUAGAAUUAUUUAUUUGCGUCGUAUAAGGAGUGCCAGGACAGUCCGGUAUUCCGAUGAAAAACUAAAUGUUACUCAAUUUGAAUUCUAAUACCAUCAGUACAGAGAUUAACAAGACAAAAUUAUGAUACUGCAUUUAUUGUUCAGAUUAGGUACUUCAUAAAAUUGCUAUACGAUCAGUUGCCAUAUUAGAUGAUAGAGAAUCGACAAACACAACUUAUUGUCCGCGCUAUUAAAAACAAAGAGCUUAUAAAUGGCUCGUCACUCGUUUACGGAAUGGUAACACAAUCCUUAGGAAAUAUGGAAACCAAAUGUUCGAGCACUAGCAAUUCAAGAUAUAUCAAAGAAAUAACUUACCUAAUUAUCAAAGCAAAUUUAUUCAUUAUUUUCAUCAAAUCGUCUCUGCUGUAUGGAGUGGAUCAUAGAUGGCAUGCCGCUAACCCUGAAACUUUCUAGCAUAAGUAUGGAUUAUUAUAUUACAGAUCUCACAUAAUACAGGCAUAGUAGUCGGACUAUGUAUAGUUUCAAGUUUGUUGAUUUCAGUGACAAGAACGUUACUAUCAUAAUGCAGGCAUUGAAGUUUGCAAAGUUUUUACACCAGUGUUUGUAGAACAUAAGGAUGUGAAUUAUAACUUUAAUAUGACACGAUUUAUCUGUAUUAAAAAAUAGAAGUCAAAAAUAAGUGUAAUUAUAUUAAUCACAUAAGAUUGGCUGGAUGUUUUACUGUGGUGCAACUACUGUUUAAUUAAAAUGCUUAGUUAAAAUGCA